rnacentral:rRNA from 1 species
GACCAUGGCUCAGGAUGAACGCUGGCGGCGCGCCUAACACAUGCAAGUCGAACGGCACCCCUCUCCGGAGGGAAGCGAGUGGCGAACGGCUGAGUAACACGUGGAGAACCUGCCCCCUCCCCCGGGAUAGCCGCCCGAAAGGACGGGUAAUACCGGAUACCCCGGGGUGCCGCAUGGCACCCCGGCUAAAGCCCCGACGGGAGGGGAUGGCUCCGCGGCCCAUCAGGUAGACGGCGGGGUGACGGCCCACCGUGCCGACAACGGGUAGCCGGGUUGAG